GCCGCAGCUUGAGAGUUUGAUCCUGGCUCAGGACGAACGCUGGCGGCGUGCUUAACACAUGCAAGUCGAACGAUGAACCACUUCGGUGGGGAUUAGUGGCGAACGGGUGAGUAACACGUGGGCAAUCUGCCCUGCACUCUGGGACAAGCCCUGGAAACGGGGUCUAAUACCGGAUACUGACCCUCGCAGGCAUCUGCGAGGUUCGAAAGCUCCGGCGGUGCAGGAUGAGCCCGCGGCCUAUCAGCUUGUUGGUGAGGUAAUGGCUCACCAAGGCGACGACGGGUAGCCGGCCUGAGAGGGCGACCGGCCACACUGGGACUGAGACACGGCCCAGACUCCUACGGGAGGCAGCAGUGGGGAAUAUUGCACAAUGGGCGAAAGCCUGAUGCAGCGACGCCGCGUGAGGGAUGACGGCCUUCGGGUUGUAAACCUCUUUCAGCAGGGAAGAAGCGAAAGUGACGGUACCUGCAGAAGAAGCGCCGGCUAACUACGUGCCAGCAGCCGCGGUAAUACGUAGGGCGCAAGCGUUGUCCGGAAUUAUUGGGCGUAAAGAGCUCGUAGGCGGCUUGUCACGUCGGUUGUGAAAGCCCGGGGCUUAACCCCGGGUCUGCAGUCGAUACGGGCAGGCUAGAGUUCGGUAGGGGAGAUCGGAAUUCCUGGUGUAGCGGUGAAAUGCGCAGAUAUCAGGAGGAACACCGGUGGCGAAGGCGGAUCUCUGGGCCGAUACUGACGCUGAGGAGCGAAAGCGUGGGGAGCGAACAGGAUUAGAUACCCUGGUAGUCCACGCCGUAAACGGUGGGCACUAGGUGUGGGCAACAUUCCACGUUGUCCGUGCCGCAGCUAACGCAUUAAGUGCCC
rnacentral:rRNA from 1 species